rnacentral:rRNA from 1 species
AUUGAACGCUGGCGGCAGGCCUAACACAUGCAAGUCGGGCGAGAGGCGGACGGGUGAGUAAUGUAUGGGGAUCUGCCUGAUGGCGGGGGAUAACUACUGGAAACGGUAGCUAAUACCGCAUACCAUAAGAUGAACCCAUAUGGGAUUAGCUAGUAGGUAAGGUAACGGCUUACCUAGGCGACGAUCCCUAGCUGGUCUGAGAGGAUGAUCAGCCACACGGGGACUGGACCAGGGCCCAGAAUCCAACGGGAGGCAGCAGUGGGGAAUAUUGGACAAUGGGCGAAAGCCUGAUGCAGCCAUGCCGCGUGUAUGAAGAAGGCCUUGGGGUUGUAAAGUACUUUCAGUUGGGAGGCGUUACCGACAGAAGAAGCACCGGCUAACUCCGUGCCAGCAGCCGCGGUAAUUC